AUUUUAAUUUGUUAUAAGUUUUGACUUGAAUUUUGUAAAUUAUUACAAUCAAGUCUUAAAAUCCAAUUUAGUUGAUUAAAUAUUAAUAUUUUGCUGAUAUAGAAGUGAUAUGACAUCUUAAAUAUUGCCGGUCAUUAAUCACAAUACUGCUAUAUCACUUCCGCAUUAGCGACAUAUUAAUUAAUAUUUUGUCAAUUAAAUUAUAUAUUUGAUUGCAAUAAUUUAUAAAAUUCAAGCAAGAACUUACAACAGAUUAAUGUUUUAUGCCAAUAAUUUCACACGUCU
rnacentral:lncRNA from 1 species